UACGUAGGGUGCGAGCGUUGUCCGGAAUUAUUGGGCGUAAAGGGCUCGUAGGCGGUUUGUCGCGUCGGGAGUGAAAACCCAGGGCUUAACCCUGGGCUGGCUUUCGAUACGGGCAGACUAGAGGUAUGCAGGGGAGAACGGAAUUCCUGGUGUAGCGGUGAAAUGCGUAGAUAUCGGGAGGAACACCAGUGGCGAAGGCGACUUCCUGGCCUGUUCUUGACGCUGAGGCGCGAAAGCUAGGGGAGCAAACGGG
rnacentral:rRNA from 1 species